rnacentral:rRNA from 1 species
CCUACGGGUGGCAGCAGUGGGGGAUAUUGCACAAUGGGGGGAACCCUGAUGCAGCGACGCCGCGUGGGUGAAGAAGCGCCUCGGCGCGUAAAGCCCUGUCAGCAGGGGAGAAAAUGACGGUACCUGAAGAAGAAGCCCCGGCUAACUACGUGCCAGCAGCCGCGGUAAUACGUAGGGGGCAAGCGGUAUCCGGAUUUACUGGGUGGAAAGGGGGCGCAGACGGCGAUGCAAGCCAGGAGGGAAGGCCCGGGGGCCAACCCCGGGACUGCUCUUGGAACUGCGGGGCUGGAGUGCAGGAGGGGCAGGCGGAAUGCGUGGUGUAGCGGUGAAAUGCGUAGAUAUCACGAGGAACACCGGUGGCGAAGGCGGCAUGCUGGACUGCAACUGACGUUGAGGCCCGAAAGCGUGGGGAGCAAACAGGAUUAGAUACCCCUGUAGUC